rnacentral:lncRNA from 1 species
AAAGACCCGCUGUCCUCUCCCACACCGCUGCAGACACCUGCUACUCCCGCAACCCCUCCAACGCGGCAACCGCUCACGCGCUCACGGGUCACGGCGACCCGCGACGUGCUGCUCGUCAAAGCUAGUCACCACGCGGUCCAAGGAGCCUGGCUGUCGCCGUGAAGGAGGCGACUAGGCCUAUUCUGCUCAAACCCUGAAGGUGUUUGCGAAAUUGACUUUGUUUGCACUUUGCAGAGUAUGCCGUGUCGGACACUUAUUUGCAGAAUGCAUAACACCAUCGCAGACAAAAGUCAGUGCCAAGCUCAAGAAUAAAUGGAAAUAAUUGUAUUAAUCGUGCGCACACGCGGAAAUGACAGAUUGCCAUACAUAGAUGCAUGCAUACGAGCAUAGUACACCUAGCUACAUUCUGAAAACAGCUUCCAAGCUUCUUGCUGAUCAGCAUAGUCCACCUAGCUACACACUGAAGAUACUCUACCGACCUAGCGUAGUCGAGCUAGCUGCAUACUGGAAACGGCUUCGAUCUUGCUGAUCAAUGAGCAUCGGGGCCACAAAUCUAGCUAACACUUUAGUGGCCUUGUGCUUGCUUAUAGAGGAAGGUUGGNNNNN